AUUGAACGCUGGCGGCAGGCCUAACACAUGCAAGUCGAGCGGAUGAAGGGAGCUUGCUCCUGGAUUCAGCGGCGGACGGGUGAGUAAUGCCUAGGAAUCUGCCUGGUAGUGGGGGAUAACGUCCGGAAACGGGCGCUAAUACCGCAUACGUCCUGAGGGAGAAAGUGGGGGAUCUUCGGACCUCACGCUAUCAGAUGAGCCUAGGUCGGAUUAGCUAGUUGGUGGGGUAAAGGCCUACCAAGGCGACGAUCCGUAACUGGUCUGAGAGGAUGAUCAGUCACACUGGAACUGAGACACGGUCCAGACUCCUACGGGAGGCAGCAGUGGGGAAUAUUGGACAAGGGGGGAAAGCCUGAGCCAGCCAUGCCGCGUGUGUGAAGAAGGUCUUCGGAUUGUAAAGCACUUUAAGUUGGGAGGAAGGGCAGUAAGUUAAUACCUUGCUGUUUUGACGUUACCAACAGAAUAAGCACCGGCUAACUUCGU
rnacentral:rRNA from 1 species